rnacentral:rRNA from 1 species
CCUACGGGAGGCAGCAGUGGGGAAUAUUGCACAAUGGGGGAAACCCUGAUGCAGCGACGCCGCGUGAGUGACGAAGUAUUUCGGUACGUAAAGCUCUAUCAGCAGGGAAGAAAAUGACGGUACCUGACUAAGAAGCCCCGGCUAACUACGUGCCAGCAGCCGCGGUAAUACGUAGGGGGCAAGCGUUAUCCGGAUUUACUGGGUGUAAAGGGAGCGUAGACGGCAGCACAAGUCUGGUGUGAAAUGCCGGGGCUUAACCCCGGAACUGCUUUGGAAACUGUGCGGCUAGAGUGUAGGAGAGGGAAGUGGAAUUCCUAGUGAAGCGGUGAAAUGCGUAGAUAUUAGGAGGAACACCAGUGGCGAAGGCGGCUUACUGGACGGUAACUGACGUUGAGGCUCGAAAGCGUGGGGAGCAAACAGGAUUAGAUACCCGAGUAGUC